rnacentral:rRNA from 1 species
GACGAACGCUGGCGGCGUGCCUAAUACAUGCAAGUCGAACGCAGUGGGGACGGGUGAGUAACACGUGGGUAACCUCCCCUCAGAGGGGAUAACACUUGGCAACAGGUGCUAAACCGAUACUGAUGGAUGGAGCCGCGGUGCCUUAGCUAGUUGGUGAGGUAACGGCUCACCAAGGCCACGAUGCAUAGCCGACCUGAGAGGGUGAUCGGCCACACUGGGACUGAGAAACGGCCCAGACUCCUACGGGAGGCAGCAGGGGGGAAUCUUCGGCAAUGGGCGAAAGCCUGACCCAGCAACCCCGCGUGAGUGAAGAAGGUUUUCGGAUCGUAAAACUCUGUUGUUAGAGAAGCGGUAUCUAACGAGAAAGCCACGGCUAACUACGUGCCAGCAGCCGCGGUAAUUC